ACUUGGUCUUUGAUUCCUCUUUGGAUGUGGAUUUUAAUUGUAAAAGGAAUUCCUUAGGUGAGAAAUUGUCUCGUGGCUCCUGGAAUUAUGUUGGUAGUGAUUGAGUUAGAUUUGGACUUCUGAUAAUUCGAAUUUCUAAUUUCUGCACUUUUCCCGCUCUGCUGUCAACUUCUGCUGUCAAGGUGAUUUGGGCAGUUUCUGCGAGUGAUUUGGGCAAAUCACUUGCCCAAUUUGCCCCAAUCGCUUUCUGGGAUUCAGUCCAGUUUCUGUCUCUGUGAGUGAUUUGGCCAGUUCCUGCGAGUGAUUUGGCCAAAUCACUCAGACCCAAUCACUUUUCCAGCUUUUUCUUCACUUUUUCUCUAACUUCCCAAUUUCUUCCUUUUCUGUAAAAACAUAACAAAAACACAAAUUAAGCUAGAAAAAUGUGUAAAUAAACAGUAAUAAAUAUAAUAAAAAUGUGGCUAAAUUAUGCUUGAUCAAGCAGUAGUUUGGAUUAGAUUGCCAAACCUGCCUCUUCA
rnacentral:lncRNA from 1 species